rnacentral:tRNA from 1 species
AAGGCUUUAAGUUAAAAAAACUAAUAGCCUUCAAAGCUAUAAAUAUAAGAUAGUCUUUUAAGCCUUA